AGUAACGGCGAGUGAAGCGGCAAUAGCUCAAAUUUGAAAUCUGGCGUCUUUGGGCGUCCGAGUUGUAAUUUGUAGAGGAAGUUUCGGCAUUUGGCUCUAAUCUAAGUCCCUUGGAACAGGGUGUCAUAGAGGGUGAGAAUCCCGUAUGUGAUUAGCUGCCUUUGCCAUGUGAAACUCCUUCGACGAGUCGAGUUGUUUGGGAAUGCAGCUCUAAUUGGGAGGUAAAUUUCUUCUAAAGCUAAAUACUGGCCAGAGACCGAUAGCGCACAAGUAGAGUGAUCGAAAGAUGAAAAGCACUUUGGAAAGAGAGUUAAAAAGUACGUGAAAUUGUUGAAAGGGAAGCGCUUGCAAUCAGACCUGCUUGCAGUUGUUCAUCUAGGCUUUCGGGCCUAGUGCAUUCUUCUGUAAGUCAGGCCAGUAUCGGUUUAGGCGGCUGGAUAAAGAAUUCAGGAAUGUAGCUUCUCUCGGGAAGUGUUAUAGCCUGUUUUGUAAUGCAGCCAGCCUAGAUCGAGGACCGCGCUUCGGCUAGGAUACUGGCGUAAUGGUUGUAAGCGGCCCGUCUUGAAACACGGACCAAGGAGUCUAACAUCUGUGCGAGUGUUUGGGUGUCAAACCCAUGCGCGUAAUGAAAGUGAACGGAGGCGGGAACCUUUUAGGUGCACCGUCGACCGAUCCUGAUGUCUUCGGAUGGAUUUGAGUAAGAGCAUAGCUGUUGGGACCCGAAAGAUGGUGAACUAUGCUUGAAUAGGGUGAAGCCAGAGGAAACUCUGGUGGAGGCUCGCAGCGGUUCUGACGUGCAAAUCGAUCGUCAAA
rnacentral:rRNA from 1 species